GGCUGGACACACCAUUGUAUACUAUGGCACGUGAUGUGGGAGGCAUUAUACCACACAUUACACUCAAGGUGGGGUUAGGUUUCAGAACAAGAGAUGUGGGCAGAAUGAUGGAAAGAGCCAGUGUCAGCAAGUGGCUGCCUGCGAAAGAAUUAGGGAAAGGUGACGUGGAGGUGUCACAGGAUAACACCUUGAUGCGAAUCAGACACUCAUCUCGCUUAACGGGGGAGCCUCAAGUAGUUGAGGUGAUUGAGUGAGAGAGGAUAGAGGAGGAAUAUACAGUGGGUGACUUUAUGGGAAUCCAUACUGUAUAUAUGAUGGGUAUGAAGGAAUAGGUAUAGUUAUUGAAAUGUUGAAUACAUGGGUGUUGCUUGAGGAUUGUAGCUUGGUGGAAGUGAGUGGAAUUGGAUUGUGUAUAGAAUGGGAAUUAGUGGGAAUUAAUAAAUAACGUAAUUGACAGAUUGAAUAAAGCACAGUUAUAUAUUGCAUAGCAUAUAAUACAUUUUGACAAUUGCUCCUGGCUGUUGGUAAUCUGUGAGUUUCACACAUGGGAUUAUUUACGGUUUAUGAAUAUGAAAUUGGGUUUGCUGGUAAAAAAUACAGGUGUGAUGCAUAUUGGGUUGAAAGGUUGAUUAAGUAGUGGAUGAAUGCUGAGAGUUGGAUAGUCGCAGCUGGAGUGUAAACAUUUUAUUCUAACAAGGAUAUAGAAUAGGUACUUGGUUGAUAACUUUGAUAACAAUCUGCAUUGAAAGUUUUUUGUUUGCAGGCCAGCAGCAGGAGAGAUAGUGGAGAAGAUAGCACAGAGGGUUAAGGAAUGUAGUGGUUGGUACAGCUGUUGUUGAAGAAAGGACCCCUGCGUCCCCCUCUGGUUCAUACACAAAAGGCCCUCGGGUUAGAAGUGAUAAGACUGUUUGCCCAGGUGUGGCACUGGGGUCAUGGGGAGCCAGGCAGGGGUAGGUAAGAAGUAUGGUUAUGUAGCAACAGGACGUCAGGAAAGGGUUAAGAGAAAGUUUAUUGGAGAGAGUGAGAAAACAAGAGAUUGAUAGAGCCUAGCGGGGGUUUAGAAGAGAGUUUUGGAAGUAAUUAAUAUGACUAAGGGGUUAACUGAUAAGAAAGAGCAGGAGGCAAAAGGGGUAUAUGGAGGUAUGUUUUGUAGUAAGAAAAGUUAAAGUUAGAAUGGGCUAUAGAUAAGGACUUUUAAAUAAAUAAAUGAGGGUUUAAAACA
ensembl:lncRNA